CUCCGCAGUGGGAGCAGCUCUCCUGCCACAGCCCCUCAUCCCCUGAAAAUGUUCGCCUGCUCCAAGUUCAUCUCCUCUCCCUCGCUGGUCAAGAGCACCUCACAGCUGCUGAGCCGUCCUCUAGCUGCAGUAACAACCAGAGAUACUGACAGAUGAGAGCCUCAGCAGCUUGGCAGUCUCACGUUCCCUUACCCCACUUGUCUCUAGCCACAGCUUCCAAACCAGCACCAUUUCAAGGGACAUCAAGACAACAGCCAAGUUCAUUGGAGCUAGGGCUGGCACAGUUGGGGUGCCUGGCUCUGGGGCUGAGAUUGGGACUGUGUUUGGGAGCCUCAUCAUUGGUUAUGCCAGGAACUCUUCUCUGAAGCAACAGCUCUUCUCCUACGCCAUUCUGGGCUUUGCCCUCUGGGAGGCCAUGGGGCGCUUUUGCUUGAUGGUGACCUUUCUCAUCCUCUUUGCCAUGUGAAGGAGCCAUCUCCACCUCCCAUAGUUCUUUCUCCCAUGUCUGGUCGGCCCUGUGUGUUCCUUUUCCUAAACCUCCUCAGGCAGCCUGGGGAACAUGGUUGGCUCAGGG